AGAGUUUGAUCAUGGCUCAGGAUAAACGCUGGCGGCGCACAUAAGACAUGCAAGUCGAACGGACUUAACCUUUAGUUUACUAAUGGAGCGGUUAGUGGCGGACUGGUGAGUAACACGUAAGCAACCUGCCUAUCAGAGGGGAACAACAGUUAGAAAUGACUGCUAAUACCGCAUAUGCCUUAGCAACACAUGUUGCAAAAGGGAAGGAGCAAUCCGCUGAUAGAUGGGCUUGCGUCUGAUUAGAUAGUUGGUGGGGUAACGGCUUACCAAGUCGACGAUCAGUAGCCGGACUGAGAGGUUGAACGGCCACAUUGGGACUGAGAUACGGCCCAGACUCCUACGGGAGGCA
rnacentral:rRNA from 1 species